ACGACCCGAAAGUUUUUUUUAACCACGUGACCGCUUCUUGCCACAACCUCCCCCACCUAAAUAGCUGAGGCAGCAGAACAGAGCUUCAGUCAUCCAAACAGAAGUUUAUCCCAGCUUCACUUCCAGGAUCUGAAUAUCCCCUGCUGACAGGCAGAAUCAGAGCAUGUAGUCAGCAAUAAGAUCCUCCCUCUGUGUCAGUGACGGUGGACGUCCAUCAGGUGCCGCUGCCAGCAGACUGGAAAAGCCCAAUGCCUGUCUGACAGCCGCAACAUAGCGUGGGUAUCUGCCUGACACUCAGUGGCCCUGUGUCAACAGCAGAGGGAGGAAGAAGAGACGCAGAGGAAACUAGAAACUAACCCUUCUGCAGACAUGGACCUACGGUCUGAGCUGCUCAAG